rnacentral:misc_RNA from 1 species
GAUGAAGAACGCAGCGAAAUGCGAUAAGUAAUGUGAAUUGCAGAAUUCAGUGAAUCAUCGAAUCUUUGAACGCACAUUGCGCCCGUCAGUAUUCUGGCGGGCAUGCCUGUUCGAGCGUCAUUGCGCCCCUCAAGUCCCCUGUGGACUUGGUGUUGGGGAUCGGCGAGGCUGGUUUUCCAGCACAGCCGUCCCUUAAAUUAAUUGGCGGUCUCGCCGUGGCCCUCCUCUGCGCAGUAGUAAAACACUCGCAACAGGAGCCCGGCGCGGUCCACUGCCGUAAAACCCCCCAACUUUUUAUAGUUGACCUCGAAUCAGGUAGGACUACCCGCUGAACUUAAGCAUAUCAAUAAGCGGAGGA